AGAGUGGGGCUGAAGCAGCCCGAUAUACGCAGUGAAGCAAAUCAGCGGUCCAACAGCCACAGGCAAGGUUGGGAACAGCCGUAACUCUUACCCGAUCUCCUUUUUCUGAAAAAAAAUAAAUAAGCAAGGGUGAGUACAAACGUACUCAGCAGCCCACCUUCACCCGCGGAAUGGGGAAAUCAGAUAUAAUGCAUGGAAUAUGUGGAGCUCAGAAUAUUUUGCAGAAUCAGCAAUAUUUUAUGCGGGGUUGUUUUGAAAAAACAUUUUGUACUUUCUCAAAGCGCAUCCUCUCCAAAAGGAGCAGGAAGUUUUUCAGUAUUAUAACAAAAUCCCCUGGACUAAACCAUCCAGGUAUCUCAGCAGUUUCCCACUGGUUUUCCUUUUCAAAAAUAGCUACUGGACUUCCCGUCCACCAUAGCUCACGGCUAAACCGCCGGACCUUUUAAAAACCAUUUUUCUCAAACGCACCCCUUUUUGAAAACAAAAACAUUAAUUGCCAUACCAUACCAGACUCGUCCAUACCAGUGGACACGGACUAUUCGAAUAGGUUUGAACUCUGCGCAGAGGUGUACACUUUACCCACUAGUCCGGUUUCUGCGAUCUCACCGUCGUGAGACCCGAAUGCCGAAUCUCUUUCUUUCCUUGCACUUCCUAACCUUAACGGUUAUACCGGAAGGAGUCAGGCCACCACCAUGUCCAAACCAGACAAAACUUUCCCCCUCCUUAUCCUCCCGGUGCUCCCCAGCCUUCAUAACCCUGGGGUUGGACCGUACGAGUUCAGAUUGAGUGACUGCCCACACAGUCUCGAGUGGUUGUACUUAUCAUGAGUACAGGUAGUGAAAGAUGACAAACCGGUCCUUAUACGAGGGGACAAUCCUUCUGCUCACGCCUAAACCAGCUGAGCCAUCACCUUAGGCCCUCCCCUAAACCAGGGAGUCCCUGAUUAUCCCACUCACAAGGUGAUAAGGGUGAAAACCCUUCAUCAUACACAUUUUGAAAAGCAUUUUCUUUUGAAAACUCACACCUUUCCUCAAAUCAUUGGUAACAAAUAUAUCAGGGAUUGAUUGCGGCAAGCGGCUGGGUGGCCAUAAUAACUUGUCUCAAAAUCAUAUCAUGCAUAAAAUAACAGGCUGAGGGUUGUGGUUGUAAAAGCAUAGGUAAUUUAUGCAUCAAAGGGAUCCAGUGAGCUUGCCGUGCUUAUCCGGCGAAGGGGAAAGAGGAGCUCGCGGAACUGGCUUCUAUCUCCACUGCCUGGCGUAGACUUGCAGAUCUGGCCUCCACGAGACGACACGAACGCUCCGAUAACUAUGCAACAUGAACAAGCAAACAUACAAACAAGCAAGUAUACCAACAAAUAUUUAGUAUAGUGGUCAAUAUAGUGAUAUAUGGAUGGGUAGAGUCUUGAGUAGAAUAUGUGUCAUGUGGUGUUGGGAUACUGCUGGUGGUGGAGCGAAGGUGCUUACCAGGAGGGUGGACUGGAGACGAAGCGACACUAUGCGUGUAGCUGGCAGAGCGGAGUAACUGAGUGAGUGGGGUGUUUGCCUUGGCUGAGGGUGUUGCGUGUGUGUGGAGAGGGAGAGGGUACCUGGGUGUAUUUAUAGCUGGGUGUAUGUGGUGUAGCACAGCGAAGUUCACUGUUGGUGAGAAUAGUGACGAAUGAAUCGUCUGACUUAGUAUGAACAGGAGAGUUAUAGGCAGAAUAUGGGACGAGAGUAUUUUGGGAGUUUUCUGGAAUAUGAACCAUGCUUAAGGGAUGACAUGGUUGGAUAGGGAAUAGUUUGAUAAGAAUUUAGAAACGAGAAUUAUUGGAAUCUGAGUUCGGAAGCCUGGUUCGAAGGAAUCUCAAGUUAAGCGUGCUCAACUUGGAGAAACCUAGGAUGGGUGACCAGCUGGGAAGUUCCCUACUAGAAUGAAAAUCACAGUCACCGGAGUUUGUAUAACUGGAAUAUGGGUCUGGCUGAUCUUAGGUGGACUGGACAGCAUGAUGGAUGAGUAGUUGAAAUUUGGGGUAAUCGGAUGAUCGAUGAAUAGUAACGGUGAAUAGUAACGGUAAAAAGUAACGGUAAAAAGUAACGGUAAAAAGUAACAGUAAA
rnacentral:lncRNA from 1 species